rnacentral:hammerhead_ribozyme from 1 species
GUUUGUCCCAAAUAGGACGAAACGCGCGUCAAAC